UGGGGAAUUUUGGACAAUGGGCGAGAGCCUGAUCCAGCAAUGCCGCGUGUGUGAAGAAGGCCUUCGGGUUGUAAAGCACUUUUGUCCGGAAAGAAAUCCUUGGCUCUAAUACAGUCGGGGGAUGACGGUACCGGAAGAAUAAGCACCGGCUAACUACGUGCCAGCAGCCGCGGUAAUACGUAGGGUGCAAGCGUUAAUCGGAAUUACUGGGCGUAAAGCGUGCGCAGGCGGUUUGCUAAGACCGAUGUGAAAUCCCCGGGCUCAACCUGGGAACUGCAUUGGUGACUGGCAGGCUAGAGUAUGGCAGAGGGGGGUAGAAUUCCACGUGUAGCAGUGAAAUGCGUAGAGAUGUGGAGGAAUACCGAUGGCGAAGGCAGCCCCCUGGGCCAAUACUGACGCUCAUGCACGAAAGCGUGGGGAGCAAAACAGGAUUAGAUACCCUGGUAGUCCACGCCCUAAACGAUGUCAACUAGUUGUUGGGGAUUCAUUUCCUUAGUAACGUAGCUAACGCGUGAAGUUGACCGCCUGGGGAGUACGGUCGCAAGAUUAAAACUCAAAGGAAUUGACGGGGUCAUAGCUGUUUCCU
rnacentral:rRNA from 1 species